GGGGAUAGCCUUUCGAAAGAAAGAUUAAUACCCGAUGUCAUAGUCCUACCGCAUGAUGGGAUUAUUAAAGAAUUUCGGUAUGGGAUGGGGAUGCGUUCCAUUAGUUAGUUGGCGGGGUAACGGCCCACCAAGACAACGAUGGAUAGGGGUUCUGAGAGGAAGGUCCCCCACAUUGGAACUGAGACACGGUCCAAACUCCUACGGGAGGCAGCAGUGAGGAAUAUUGGUCAAUGGACGGGAGUCUGAACCAGCCAAGUAGCGUGAAGGAUGACUGCCCUACGGGUUGUAAACUUCUUUUAUAUGGGAAUAAAAUGUUCCACGUGUGGGAUUUUGUAUGUACCAUAUGAAUAAGGAUCGGCUAACUCCGUGCCAGCAGCCGCGGUAAUACGGAGGAUCCGAGCGUUAUCCGGAUUUAUUGGGUUUAAAGGGAGCGUAGGUGGAUUGUUAAGUCAGUUGUGAAAGUUUGCGGCUCAACCGUAAAAUUGCAGUUGAAACUGGCAGUCUUGAGUACAGUAGAGGUGGGCGGAAUUCGUGGUGUAGCGGUGAAAUGCUUAGAUAUCACGAAGAACUCCGAUUGCGAAGGCAGCUCACUGGACUGCAACUGACACUGAGGCUCGAAAGUGUGGGUAUCAAACAGGAUUAGAUACCCUGGUAGUCCACACAGUAAACG
rnacentral:rRNA from 1 species